rnacentral:rRNA from 1 species
AUUGAACGCUGGCGGUAUGCCUUACACAUGCAAGUCGGACGGCAGCACGGGAGCAAUCCUGGUGGCGAGUGGCGAACGGGUGAGUAACAUAUCGGAACGUGCCCAAUCGUGGGGGAUAACGCAGCGAAAGCUGUGCUAAUACCGCAUACGAUCUGCGGAUGAAAGCGGGGGCCUCGCGAGAGCCUCGCGCGAAGGGAGCGGCCGAUAUCAGAUUAGCUAGUUGGUGGGGUAAAAGCCCACCAAGGCGACGAUCUGUAGCUGGUCUGAGAGGACGACCAGCCACACUGGGACUGAGACACGGCCCAGACUCCUACGGGAGGCAGCAGUGGGGAAUUUUGGACAAUGGGCGCAAGCCUGAUCCAGCAAUGCCGCGUGCAGGAAGAAGGCCUUCGGGUUGUAAACUGCUUUUGUACGGAACGAAAAGGUUUGGGUUAAUACCCUGGGCCGAUGACGGUACCGUAAGAAUAAGCACCGGCUAACUACGUGCCAGCCGCCGCCGUAA